GACGAACGCUGGCGGCGUGCUUAACACAUGCAAGUCGAACGCUGAAGACCUGGCUUUUGUUGGGUUGGAUGAGUGGCGAACGGGUGAGUAACACGUGAGUAACCUGCCCUCUUCUUUGGGAUAACGCCCGGAAACGGGUGCUAAUACUGGAUAUUCACUGAUCUUCGCAUGGGGGUUGGUGGAAAGGUUUGUUCUGGUGGGGGAUGGGCUCGCGGCCUAUCAGCUUGUUGGUGGGGUGAUGGCCUACCAAGGCUUUGACGGGUAGCCGGCCUGAGAGGGUGACCGGUCACAUUGGGACUGAGAUACGGCCCAGACUCCUACGGGAGGCAGCAGUGGGGAAUAUUGCACAAUGGGCGAAAGCCUGACGCAGCGACGCCGCGUGAGGGAUGGAGGCCUUCGGGUUGUAAACCUCUUUCGCUCAUGGUCAAGCCGCAACUGUGGGUUGUGGUGAGGGUAGUGGGUAAAGAAGCGCCGGCUAACUACGUG
rnacentral:rRNA from 1 species